GCCUGUGCUCUUGGCAGAACGCAGAACAGAAGCAGAGAUGGUGGUUCGUCGGGCAAGGAGCUGCUCGGGGCUGCGGUCCCUGCCCUUCUCCAGGAAGCUCUCCUACUUCGACGGCGAGUUCGAGAGGCUGCACCGGCGCCGGCUGCUCCCCGCCUCCGACUCCGAAUGGUGCCAGGUGGUGGAACCACUGCUCCGGUGCGGCUCCAAUCCGACCCACACCCGGGCUGGUGGCGGCUGCGGCCGCGCCCGGAUCGCGUUAGCCGCCGCCGGCGGCGUCCUCUUGCUCGGCUGCCUCCUGCUCUGCAGCCGCCCCGGCUCCAGGUUCCUGAGUUACUGCGGCCGGGCUCUGCUCAUUCAGUUGCUGCCUUAUUGGGACUGGACGUUGUAUUCCAACAGUGAUUGCCUGAUCAGGAACCCCUAUUACUUUGAGAGAGGCCUGGAGUCUUUGCAGCUCACAGACUGCAUCAAUGUUUGCCAAAGGUACCCCAAAGUGGAAUCUCUGCACAAAGUAGAUCCAAAAGUUGUUCUCCAGAAUUACCUGCGUCAGAAUCUGCCCCUCAUAAUAACGGAUGGAGCUGAAGAAUGGGUUGCACAAAGAGAAUUUACGGUGCCAUUCCUAACUCAGUUAUACAGUGGUCAUCCAGCGCUGCAGAACACAGAGGUGUGCAGUUAUUGGGACUCUCAUCAUUCGGUGGAGAAUAGUCCUGGUUCCUUCUUGGAAAAGGUCCAUCGACAAAGACUUAUCCAGUGGGCAAUUCAGUGGAAGAAUUGCAACAAAGCAGCUGCGAAGGUGAUCCGUUCGUUUUAUCAGCGACCCUAUUUCCUCCCUCCAGUAGUGGAAUUGGCAGAGUCUAACUGGCUGCUGAUGGCUUCACGAGCAGAGAAUGGCGCCGUGGCAGACACAUUUAUAAAGGUUUUGUUUCUGGAUGGCCUCUGCACAGACAAUUCUACAAGUGUUUCAGGACCUUAGAUGAUUAUGUAUUGGUUCAUUCCUUUGAUACUUAUAGUUGUGAACACAGUCAUUCUGGCAAGUAGAGCAGCCGUGUGGAUUAACUGUGAACUGAGAAAGAAAUGCUGAAAUGCUGAGAGAUUUCUUUUUUGCACAGUUGCUGUACCGCUUCAGAUGUGGGAGGUUCAGUAUCGUCCUUCCAGUUCCAUUGCCAUUGGACUUGCUGCAACAGGAAAUUGGCUUCAUGACCCCAGGUAAUGAUGCCAGAAGUGAUUCCACAAGACAGUAUACAGCAUCAGGCAAUCUAGGAUUUGGACAGUGGCCAAGCUGGUGCCUGCUGCUCUGAGCUUGCACUAUACCCUUGGAGCUUGGCUCAGACCUUCUCAUCUGAUUUGCUGUGAUAUAUCACUUAUGUUGAGAGUAUUUAAUUCCUCACUUUUGUGGGAUUUCUGGAAGGACAGAGUUAUAAUAAGGUUGGGCUGUUGGAUGAUGAAGGGAUAUCGAGAUUUUCAUCAAGGUCAAGGACUGAUAAAAUUCAGAGAAUAGAAAAACAUAGGUGCUGCGAUAGAUUGGAUAUUUUCCUUUAUCAUUAAAAGCUGAUGGCCUGGUAUAAAUGGUAAUCGAUAAUGCAAUAUUGGACGUUACCUCAAGGGUUUGGAAUACAGAGAGAAAAUUAUGCUUCAGUUGUACAGAACACUGACAAGGCCCCAUCUGGAGCAUCGCAUUCAGUUUUCAGGCACUGAACCUUCAAAGGAUACAUUGGCUUCAGAGGGAUACAGCACAAAUUUACCAGAAUAAUAUAUGGGCUUAGAGGGUUAAUUCAUGAGGACAAGUUGUGUAAACCUGGCUUAUGUUCCCUUGAGUUUAGACAGUUAAGUGGUAAUCUAACUGAGGUGUUCAAAACAAUAAAGGGAUUUGAUGGGGCAGAUAGAUCGAAACAAUGGGCAGAAUUUUAUGAUCCCAUUGUGUGGGGGUGGGCCAUAAAUGUGGUGAGCCGUUCAAAUGUCCAUUGACUUCGGCAGGACUGUAAAACCCCACCAGUGUAAAAUUCCGCCCUUUUUCUGAUGGAAGAAUCAGAAUAAGAAGGUAUAAUCUAAAAAUUAGAGCUAGCCCAAUUAGGAGUGACAUCAGAAAAUACUUUUUUAUACGAAAGGUAGUGGAAUCUGGAACUUCCUCAAAAGGCUCUGGAUGCUGGGAUAAUUGAAAUUUCAAAACUGAGAUCAAUAGAUUUUUAUUCAUUAAGGGUAUCAAUGGAUUUUGAGUAAAUUGAGUUGAGGUACAGAUCAGCCAUUGUGGAAAAAGUUGAAGAGGCUGAAUGGUCUAACCUGUUCCUUUAGUUGAAAAACAGGACAGGAACUAAAUUUUGUUGGCAUGCUUUGCUUUAGCUGUUCAUACCUUAAAUACUUUGAAAGGGAAACAAAGUCCUUUCCUCUUCAUAAACAUCAAAAUGCAGUAAAUCUUCCUGCCUUGAAGGUAGACUGUAGGAGGGCAACACAGGAAAAAUUGAUUCAUUUUUAAAUAGAGACUGAGGGCUGCAAAUCUCUGAGGAGGAGGUCUUCAAAUUUCAAAAGAGGGAAGAAGAAACGUGUAUCUUUUCUGAAGGCCAGAGAAGGACUGUAGAUGUAGAUGGAAGGAGAAAAAGGUCUGGAUAUUUUUGAGUGGCAGUGGAGAAGAGCUGUAGGAAGGAUGGUGGCUGCAGAUCUCUGAGAUAGAGAAUGGGGGCUGUAGUUCUCUACACGAAAGAGAGAGUUGUAAGUCUCUGUGUGGGGGGCUGGAAAAUGGCCUCAGAUGUGUGGACGAAAGAGGGGAUUGCAAAAAGGGAGAAGAAGGGAUCUGUGGAUUUCUGAGAGGGAGGAUAAUAAAAGAAAGAUGGCUGCAGAUCUCUUGGAAGAGGGGGCUGCUGAUUUCAUAAAACUGUCUGGGUCUUUAGGGUAAAUUAAUUUGUUGAAAGAAUUUUGGGUUGAGGGAUAGCUGCACUGGAUCUGAAUUAAGAUUGUGUGACAACUUAACUCGGUACAAAGUAGAUUAAUGUUAUAUCUUCCGCCUCUGUCAUCCUUUACUUGUUUUGACGAGUAUACAAGAGCAAGGUGGGUCCAGAGACAGGGCUUUAAUCAUGGGGGUGGAGCUUCAGUUGUGGAAAGGUAGAUCACAAGCAAAAGUGCAGUUAUGGAUUGAGGAUCUGGGACAGGGCAUCAAUCGCAAGGUGAAAGAUCCAAUCAUUGGAAGAGGGAUCUGUGAAUCAAGAUGAAUCAUGGACUGAGCUUCCAGCUGUACUAAACAUCUCUCAAACUGAGAACAUGUUAAUCAUUUGGAUUCCGAGGUUGAUGCAUAGCUCGCUGCUCAAUGAACCCUAUUGUUGCAUAGCUUACAUUUCAUCCUCUGCAAACAAUCUAAUCGGAGCUCACGUAAGAUAGCAGGAAUUCUAAUUGCUACCCAUUAAACCACAGAACAGUGAUCUUAAACAGUAUCUUGCUAUGGAUUAACCUGUGAAUAUAGUUUUUUUUAAUCUGAAUUUUGAUGUAUUCCAAACAUCAAGCCAAGCUAAAUUUAAUCCAUUAAAUGAUUUCUCGUGGAUGUCAAAAGAUCAAUAUGAAAUUGCUGUUUUGGAAAGACUGUGAAAUUAAAUAAUUUUUUAUUAAAAAAAUUGGAAU